rnacentral:rRNA from 1 species
UACGUAGGCUGCGAGCGUUGUUCGGAGUUACUGGGCGUAAAGCGUGCGUAGGCGGUGUCUUAAGUUUGUUGUGAAAUCUCCCGGCUUAACCGGGAGGGUGCGGCGAAUACUGAGAUGCUGGAGUGCCGGAGAGGUAAGCGGAAUUCCUGGUGUAGCGGUGAAAUGCGUAGAUAUCAGGAGGAACACCUGCGGUGUAGACGGCUUACUGGACGGUAACUGACGCUGAGGCACGAAAGCGUGGGUAGCAAACAGG